CUUUUCUACAAAAAAGUCAAAGUUAUCUAUAAAAUUAAAAGGCGAAUGCCAAAUUAUAAUGCAAGAAUAUCAACAUAUUAAGUAAGGUAUUCUUUUAAAAGGCUUCACCCUCUUGGAACAGCUGUGCCACCAGCUGGGUGGAUGAAAAGCCACAAGGAGAAAAAGCAGAUCACGGAGUCAAAAGCCCCAGUCAACUGUCAGACACAGAGAGGAAGCUGCAGAGAAUCUUCAGGAAAUUGAGGAAAACUGCUGCUGGGUGGAAAUUUAACAGCUCAGCAGUAAGACUGUUCUUCUUUGCGCAGCAGAGGACAAGACUCAGAGCUCAAACAAGGUGCCAGUGAGUAGAGUAUGAUGGUGGGAAGACAAAUGAAGGAAGAUGUAUUUAAAGCGCUACCCGACUCACUUCAAAUAGGUGAAGAAGUUCCAGCUCAAGGAGAUGGAGGGUAUUUGUUUUAAGGUAAAUAUAUUUUCUUAUAAGGUUUUCAUUGAGGGAAAGAAAGCAAACUUUAACCAAGAAUGGCUCGCCAUCCUCUGCCGUGGUAGGGGAUCCAGGUAACCGUCAA
rnacentral:lncRNA from 1 species